rnacentral:rRNA from 1 species
GAGUUUGAUCGUGGCUCAGAUUGAACGCUGGCGGCAGGCCUAACACAUGCAAGUCGGGCGGUAGAGAGAAGCUUGCUUCUCUUGAGAGCGGCGGACGGGUGAGUAAUGCCUAGGAAUCUGCCUGGUAGUGGGGGAUAACGCUCGGAAACGGACGCUAAUACCGCAUACGUCCUACGGGAGAAAGCAGGGGACCUUCGGGCCUUGCGCUAUCAGAUGAGCCUAGGUCGGAUUAGCUAGUUGGUGAGGUAAUGGCUCACCAAGGCGACGAUCCGUAACUGGUCUGAGAGGAUGAUCAGUCACACUGGAACUGAGACACGGUCCAGACUCCUACGGGAGGCAGCAGUGGGGAAUAUUGGACAAUGGGCGAAAGCCUGAUCCAGCCAUGCCGCGUGUGUGAAGAAGGUCUUCGGAUUGUAAAGCACUUUAAGUUGGGAGGAAGGGCAGUAAAUUAAUACUUUGCUGUUUUGACGUUACGACAGAAUAAGCACGGCUAACUCUGUGCCAGCCGCCGACCG